GUUGAUUCUAUAUUUGGUUAUUGGGAAUAGUGCUGCAGUAAACACGAGAGUGCAGAUAUUUCUUUGAGACACAGAUUUCAAUUUCUUUGGAUACAUACUCAGGGUCCUAUACAGAUAGAACACUUGCUCUUUGAACACGUCUAAUGGCCAGCCCAGCAGGAAAAGAGACAUCUAGAGAGAGGGUUUGCCUUGACAAUUAAAUGCUUUACUCACAAUCCAUUAGCUAGAAUUAUGUGACCAUACCCAACCACAUGAGGACCAGGAAGUACAAUACUACCAUGUGCCUAAGAAACUGAAAUAUCUGCUUGGAAGCCUUGCUGUUGUAAACCCACAGAAGAAAGCUAAAAAAUUAUGCCGAAUUAUGGAUUGCUCUUUCUACAUUUGGAAGAAAAAGAAAGUUUUUCUCAGAAAGUCUUCUCUAUAGUACCACAAAGAUGCAAGGAUUCCUCAAAUGGUAUCAGCUUCA
rnacentral:lncRNA from 10 species